UUAACUAAAGCCAUAAUGCGUAAGUCUAAGUCAAAAUACUAGACUUUAACUAAAAUGUUAAUUAUACUAUAUAAUGUUUACCUUUUCAGUAGAAUGUUUGCCCUGGAAUGGUUUUGAGUCAUUUUUUUUAUAUUCAAUGAAAUAAAUGGCAACAAUAUAAAUGCAAAAUGUGUUUUGUGUGGCCCUUCAGGAAAAUAUAUAAGUACUGCUAAAAAUACAUCAUCUAAUCUAAAACGGCAUGUUAAGAACUUAACACACCUUUUCCAUCAAUUGCACCGGUCGAGUGACUAUUUUCAACAGGGUCUAAUAUGAUGACUGAAAAAAGAUAUAAUUUGGGUGAUUUGUUAUUUGAAAAAUUAGUUUUAUUAAAAGAAAAGAAAGUUUAAAAUAUUUUUUUGUUGUUGUAUAUUUUUCUAGUUUCUAAUACCAUUUCGAUCAUGCUUUUGAACCGAAAUUAAUUUAUAACAUAUAUAUAUGUGUAAAGUUACAUGCAUAGGCAGACUAGGGUGGCAGGAGAGUAAAAUAUUUAGGAAACUAUAUAAAAAUAAUAACAAAAAUAAACCUGAUAUAAUAAAUUUACUCCCAUUAAUUUAAAGUAAUACGUAAUUAAUAAUUUUUAAAAAAAGAACGAAGUUGUAACGAAUUCCUUUUUUUGAGGAAUUUGGAAAAAAGUCCUUUUUAUGGUAAGGAAUGAGGAUCUGGAAAGCGUUCUUAUUAUGCGAAAUGAACGGGAAAGGGAACGAGAUCCAUUUUAAAAGAAACUUUCCAAACACUGAUCUAAUGGUAAAAAAUGUAUCUAAAGUCAAAAUGAAAGCUACGUAGUGUGGUUGCGGAAAAGUGAAAGUUGGAAGUAACCGCGUAAUAAUAAUAGCAGAGAAAGAAAUAUUUGACAUUAAAUCAGAUGAACAUUUGUACCAAGAUCUGUUACAAUGAACAUUUUACAAUUUUUGACGAAAAGAUUAUUUAUGCCUUAACUAACAAUGCCUCUACUUAAUCCAGAUUGAGGACAGUCUUAAAGGUAAAUUGGUCGGAUUUCAAAUUAGACAGUGUAAAAUUCAAAUUGUUCUGCAAUAAAACUGCAAAUCUGAUAGUGGAUAAUUAUUCCUGGUAUAUAAUCACAUCAACUGUAUACAAGCUCCUUAAACAUGGGAUUCAAAUUUCAGAAGUAUUUGAACUGCCUUUCGGAUUUUUUAAAGAUUUUCAAGAAGUCUUAUACAAAGAAAUCCACAAAGCUAGAUUAGAUCACAACGCAAAACUUUCUCGAGUUAAUCUUAUUUAAAACCAGUUCAACCACCUUCUAAUUAGGUCGGUUUUAUUACUUGUACGAGCUUCAAAAAAUACAACUCGGAAAAUGGUGAAUAUCUGAAGGCUAAUGUUCUUGUACUGCUUGUUUUAAACUAACUGAUAAAUGUAUAUUUUGUUUGUAGACUAAUGUCUUGUUUUUUUUUGAAAAUAGUUAUGCGUUCAUAAAAUGUUUGGUGAAUUAAGAAUAGCUUUGCUAAUAAUAUUAGAGAAGCUCUUCACUA